UACGUAGGGGGCAAGCGUUGUCCGGAUUUAUUGGGCGUAAAGAGCGUGUAGGCGGCCAGUCAGGUCCGUUGUGAAAACUCGAGGCUCAACCUCGAGACGCCGAUGGAAACCAUCUAGCUAGAGUCCGGAAGAGGAGAGUGGAAUUCCUGGUGUAGCGGUGAAAUGCGCAGAUAUCAGGAAGAACACCCGUGGCUAAGGCGGCUCUCUAGUACGGUACUGACGCUGAGACGCGAAAGCGUGGGGAGCGAACAGG
rnacentral:rRNA from 1 species